rnacentral:rRNA from 1 species
AUUGAACGCUGGCGGCAUGCCUUACACAUGCAAGUCGAACGGUAGGGGGGCAACCCCUGAGAGUGGCGAACGGGUGAGUAAUGCAUCGGAACGUGCCCAGUUGUGGGGGAUAACGUAGCGAAAGCUACGCUAAUACCGCAUACGACCUGAGGGUGAAGGGGGGGGAUCGCAAGACCUCUCGCAAUUGGAGCGGCCGAUGUCAGAUUAGCUAGUUGGUGGGGUAAAAGCCUACCAAGGCGACGAUCUGUAGCUGGUCUGAGAGGACGACCAGCCACACUGGGACUGAGACACGGCCCAGACUCCUACGGGAGGCAGCAGUGGGGAAUUUUGGACAAUGGACGCAAGUCUGAUCCAGCCAUGCCGCGUGCAGGAAGAAGGCCUUCGGGUUGUAAACUGCUUUUGUCAGGGAAGAAAUCCCUUGGGAUAAUACCUCGGGGGGAUGACGGUACCUGAAGAAUAAGCACCGGCUAACUACGUGCCAGCAGCCGCCGUAAAAC